rnacentral:rRNA from 1 species
CCUACGGGAGGCAGCAGUGGGGAAUAUUGGGCAAUGGACGCAAGUCUGACCCAGCAACGCCGCGUGAAGGAAGAAGGCUUUCGGGUUGUAAACUUCUUUUUUCAGGGACGAAGCAAGUGACGGUACCUGACGAAUAAGCCACGGCUAACUACGUGCCAGCAGCCGCUGUAAUACGUAGGUGGCAAGCGUUAUCCGGAUUUACUGGGUGUAAAGGGCGUGUAGGCGGGACUGCAAGUCAGAUGUGAAAACCACGGGGUCAACCUGUGGCCUGCAUUUGAAACUGUAGUUCUUGAGUACUGGAGAGGCAGACGGAAUUCCUAUUGUAGCGGUGAAAGGCGUAGAUAUUAGGAGGAACACCAGUGGCGAAGGCGGUCUGCUGGACAGCAACUGACGCUGAGGCGCGAAAGCGUGGGGAGCAAACAGGAUUAGAUACCCCGUAGU